ACUUGCAAUAAUAUAUUCAAAUACUCUUAUGAGUCACCCUAUAAAGCACCAAUACUCCCACUAAUGCUCCUACCAAGUGUUCACCAGCAACUGUCACUGUUUACAGUUCUUCAAUUCCCAUCUUUAACAACAUUUAUAACUCACUAUUCCAACCUCAAAAACACCUGCUGGGUCAUACUUGCAAUCAAGUUCACGAACCUUGGUCAAAUUGACGGAAAACUUGGCAAGGGUCUUAUCCAGUGUAUCGCAACGGAGACCGGUGCGUACUCAGGAUCUUUCGUCAUCGUCUCGAGGUAAACGACACACUGUCAAAGAAAGAGCAGUGGCGAUUCGCGUGGGCUACCGCCAGAGAACUAAGAGCGUCUGAGGCACACCUGAAUCCCAACAGCAUCGGUCACUACCUUACUACAGCGCGGAACAACCUCUAUAGUGGCGUCGUUGUGUAUAUUGUGACGCGUAUACUGGGUGACACAAAAAAUAUAAUGAAAAAAUAGAUUGUGAUGUCCAUGAAAAAAGGCGAUAACAAUAAUAUAAUCGUCAGUGAAGAUUAAUCAGAAUUUAAUCAUGCCUACCUCUAGACUAAUAGAUAAUAGAGGAUGAAGACAAUUGUUUUGAUCGAAUUGGGAUUUUAAUGUGACUGGAAUUAAAUUAUAAUAAGUAUAUAGAAUUAUAGCAGUAAGUACAUAAAUAUUGUGUAUACUGUAAUAUUAAUUAAAUGCAAUUAUUUUUUAUCUUAAAAUAGAAUAUUAAUUUUUCAGGCAAGAAUAUAUAUGUUUUUAAUUAUAAAAUAAGAAAUAUGAAUCAUUUUAAUGAGACUAAUUCAUAUUUGGAUUAAAUGUUAUAUACAAAAUUAGAUUUUUUAAUAUGUAAGUAAAACAUGUGUAUACAUGAUUGAUCAAUAUAAACAAUUUUUGUGAAAAUGAAAAUGAAAAGAAGAAAAAAUUGUCUCAUUUGCAAUUGAAUAAUAUAAAUAUUUAUGAAUUUUAAAUAUUUGGAUUACUAUAGAUCGAUGUGAAGCUCACUAUUGAAAUGGCAGCGAUUAUGCAGAAUUUGCGACACCUUGUAUAAGCGUCGCAGGUGAGCGGACUAUGGAGCGAAACAGAGAAGUUGUUAUACUAUUAUUUCUAUGCUGUUUUCCUGAGCACCGCUUCGCUUCGUCUCACCUGCUUGCUUACUUGCUUCUCCUGCGCUCAACCUUGCCUCUCAGGGUGUUAAUAUGAUGCUCGGGUCCCUCCAGAUUGGAUGGAUAUCUCACGCCGUGAAACAUACGAUUUGCAUUCAACUCGGAUCCCCUGCUCGUGGCUUG